AAUUUGAGGAAUAUCCUAAGCCUAAAACAGGGUGUGUCUGCGUACAGACGUCGGAGUUCCAUGCAUGAAUGAGUUCCUCAAAGUGUGGGGCGCAGAGACGUGACAGGUGGGGUGUAAAUGGACUCGAUGAACGGAAGAUUUUUUUUUUUUACCCCUGAUCUAUGGCAAUGCUUUCCUUUAUAGACAAUAGAUUUUGAUUUACGUCAGCGUAUUAAUUGCAGCGGGACCAUUUAAAAAAAACUUUUGUUUAGUUUAGUUAGGGCUGUGUUCUCGCUACGUGUUUUACACGUCCAGUGUGUUGACAGUCAGUUCAACAGUCAGCCAAACUUGAUUUCACGAGCCAGGUAGCGAGCGCCUUGCUCCUUUAAAACUUAUGAGUGAAACAAUAAUACACAAGAAACGGAAAAUACUUCGAAGGUAUCUUAACUAAACACAGCAAGUUACUAUUAGAUUCAUUACACCAAGAAUCAGAGCAACAACAGAUUACAGCACAGCUGGCUAAUAAGUGCUAACGUUAGCCACCAACGGAGUUAUGAAUGAACGUAACGUAUCUAAAUGAAUGAUAAUUACAUUUUACGUUUCAACGAACUAACACAGUUCAUAGAAUUUAAACAUAGGUCACUUAAACAUAUUUAUCACAGUGUGAGACAUACUAGAUAUGUGCGUUACUAACUGUCACAGUUGUUCCCUAUCCCACGAGACGAGUAUGAUAUCAAAGUAAAACUCCGUCAACAGAAAGAAAUACAAUACUGUGUGCGUGCAGGGAUGGAUUACCGAACGGCCUACCUAUAUACCCCUGCCCUGUGUCAUAUAUACCCCUGCCCUGUGUCAGUGAAAUAUAUACACCUGCCCUGUGUCAGUGAAAUAUAUACCCCUGCCUGUUCCUACAGUGUGUUGCCCUGUGUCAGUGAAAUAUAUACCCCUGCAUGUUCCUACAGUGUGGCUACUGCUGUGCAAAACCUGUUUGCGCUUUAGUACCGCUAUGAAUUAGGGCCCAAUGAGUGAUAUCAUUUUGUUAUUAGAUUGGUCAGUCAUUCUCCUCUCAUUAUGUGUAUAUUUCUGUCC
ensembl:lncRNA